rnacentral:rRNA from 1 species
AACGAACGCUGGCGGCAUGCCUAACACAUGCAAGUCGAACGAGAUCUUCGGGUCUAGUGGCGCACGGGUGCGUAACGCGUGGGAAUCUGCCCUUUGGUUCGGAAUAACAGUUGGAAACGACUGCUAAUACCGGAUGAUGACGAAGGUCCAAAGAUUUAUCGCCAGAGGAUGAGCCCGCGUAGGAUUAGCUAGUUGGUGUGGUAAAGGCGCACCAAGGCGACGAUCCUUAGCUGGUCUGAGAGGAUGAUCAGCCACACUGGGACUGAGACACGGCCCAGACUCCUACGGGAGGCAGCAGUGGGGAAUAUUGGACAAUGGGCGAAAGCCUGAUCCAGCAAUGCCGCGUGAGUGAUGAAGGCCUUAGGGUUGUAAAGCUCUUUUACCCGGGAUGAUAAUGACAGUACCGGGAGAAUAGGCUCCGGCUAACUCCGUGCCAGCCGCCGCAGUAAUAC